rnacentral:pre_miRNA from 9 species
UCUCGCUAGCGUAAAAGUUAACUCAAAUUUGUAUGGGCGUGGAACAUUUGCCGUUAGGGGCAUUGUUCCAGCUGCAUACAAAUUUCAGGUAACUUUUACGCUAUCGA